GGUGAGAUGGCCGAGCGGUCUAAGGCACCAGACUAAGGAGCUCAUUCUACCAAGUCUCUGACAUCUGGUCCUCACGGGCGUGGGUUCGAAUCCCACUCUCAUCA